GUACUCGCUUCAGCAGCACAUAUACUAAAAUUGGAAUGAUACAGAGAUUAGCAUGGCCCCUGCACAAGGAUGACACAAAGAUUCAUGAAGCAUUCCAUAUUUUU